UGAUGUCAUGAGUUUCUCUUCCGCUCGCCGAGAUUUUGCGGGGUCUGCGGUCUCCGGUAAAACCGCUCAACUGUCACAGUGACGGCACGAGAGUGAACACAGGCAACACGGGAACGCAAGCUGUGGCUACCUUCCAAUAAAAGUUUAUUUAAAGUAUCAGGAGGCCGCCCACUGGAGCCGGGAAAAGCCCCACCAGCCCGUCCCCAAAGAGGCCGUCUGUUUUCCUUGCUCCUCACCACAGAAAGAGAACACAAGCUGGGGGAGUGGGAGAGGGAGAAGCAGGCUCCCCUCUGAGCAGGGAACCCGAUGGGAUCAUGACCUGAGCCCAAGGCAGACACUUAACCGACUGAGCCACCCAGGCGCCCCAUCAGUCACAUUUAGGUUGACUCUGUGUCAGGAGGCGAGUAAGGAGGGCAGUCACGAAGCUCCCACAGAAGUCAUCCCACCCAGUGACCAUGAACACUUCGUCAAGCAGACAGUUGCUCAGCCCAGGAAAACACUCUGCCUGCCAUGUAGCCCCCACGGUGCCAAUAAACGCCACCCCACUGUAGCCGACAUUAGAACACCUAGUUGGAGAGAUGUUACACAUUUUUAACGGUGUUCUUAUCUGAUAAUGUCAACACAGAGCGGUAUUGAUUUUCUUUGGAUAAUUAGUUUAUUACCAUGACUAUUGCUCAGGACAAAGUAAACAGCAGGGAAAGAGCUGAUGAGCACGCUUCUUCUCAAGGAAAUGUUGGCCAGCCAGAAGAACUCUGGAUGAAUUCCUUGAGUAACUGGGAUAAUGCUUCCGCAUCCCUGAGAAACUGCCAGGAGAUGCCAGAUAUUCUAGGGAGAGUUUGGAAUCCUGACACAGACCACGAUGCUGGCCUCAUGGGCCCGUUACCAGGCUGCAAGUGGUGGUCAGUUUGAAUGCAGUGCCAAGCCAGCACCCCCAGGUCUUCUAAGAGCCCAUGCAGUCCCGCUCCUGCCAUCUGGGACACCCUCGUGUUUCCUGUUCAUUCGGUGGCCACUUCCCGAGUCCAUCUGCACCCCAGGACUGCGGUAGGCGUGGUGGAGAUGGCGGGUGCCCACACUCCCCUGGAGCAUGAAGUCUGAAGGGGAGACCAGGCUGCAGAUGCGCAUCCUGUGCCUGGGGUCGGGCUGCACUGGAGCUGAGACACGAGGCACAGGGAAGCGUGGAGGGAGCAGUGGGUCACACGUGGGAAGUCAGCUCCAUCCUACAGAACAGGUGACAUCAGACGUGAGUGUUGAAGGAUCCGUAGCAAUUUUUCCGUGAGAGAGGGAGGCAUCCCAAGCCAGGACACGGAGGCAGGGUCGGGAGCUGUCCGAGGCUGGGUGGUUGAUAUAUCGGGAAAGGGGGAGGAAAUGGUGGAGGAUCAGGGGUGGAAAUUAGCAGAAGCUAGAUCGUGGAGAUCCUUGUAUGUGGGAUGGCAAAAGCCCAGCGCUUUCCUGCUUUUCACACUGAAAAUUCUGUGCUCCGGAAAUGUGUGUUGGUUUGUCUGGAAGUGUCCUGGUUUUGAAACUGAGAGCCUCACAUCCUGGGAACCCCUUCCCCCUCAUUCCCCAGAGCAGAUGGUCAUCCUAUUUAUAUGUUAUGUGUAUUCAGUCAGCAGUACUUUGUAAGCACCUACUGUGUACUAGAAACUGUGCAUACGGGGGUAUUCUUGUUCUUCCAUGGCUGGUAUCUCAGCAGUGAAUAGGCACCUACAGACUUAAAAAAAGAAUUUAAUUAUUUAUAAAGGCACACAAUGUGUGUCUGAGAAACUGAAAGAAAUCCAGGGAGGGGGUGGGUAACGUGAGGUGAGGCAAGGGACAAAACAAGCAUUUACUGUAGUCAUGGCAAGGAUUUGGGCUUUUGUCCCCAGGGAAGUGGGUACAUAGGAGGAUUUAAUCUGCCUUGAGCAGGGGUGCAAUGUGGGCUGC